AUUAUUGGGUCGACAAGGACGGCGACUAGGAGGAUUACAGACUGGAAGAGCCCUUCUGGGUGUCCCUCUCCUGUAUCCUUGACCCAUCUCUUAUCUGGGACUCCCACUCUCUCCAUCCAUCUAAGCCAGAAAUUCACCUAUCACGGUCUGGAACCUGAACCAUGACAAACGAGGGACGACUGUUUUACAAAAUGCUAAGCAAUCAGACCAGAGUACCAGAUUACAAGUGUGGGUAUAGUCUACACACUCCUGAAGCUUGCUGUACCCACCAGUCAGUCUGCUGUCCAGCACCACUCCAGCAGGUACCAUCUCAGGUAGCUCCAGCAACAUU